AGCGCUUGUCUGGUAUUUUAUUCAACGGAGCCAAAGUCAUUUUGAAAGAGAGUGUGUUUGCAAAGAUGGAGAUUCCAGCAAAAUUAAGCUUGUUCCCCUGUGUGGUCUCCGCAGCUCUCCCGUGUUGAGGAAGCCGGCUGGAGUGCCCGUGACGCUCUCUCCCAAGCUGUCGGGGUUUCUCCUCUCCAGUGGUGGAUGGCCUUCUGGGUGUCCAGCGAGACUCAGAUGUCUGUCGUCCAUGGGAAUGAAGACGGCCUUUUCUGGCUGAACGCGGCCUCUCUCACUACUCGUCCCGUUCCAUUUCUCCACGUCACGCCAGAAUCAGAUGGUGAUUUUUUCCCCAUCUGUUGCCACAAUCUGUUCAAACUGCCACAUUCCGAGAGCCCCCGGGAAGCUGCGUAGCCCAGAACGGGAAAUGAAGGUGCUCCUGCCCCACUUCCUGCGGGUCUGGUCCUGGGCGCAGCGGUGGGGUGCGGUGGGCGCUCGGCCUCUCACGCCGCGGGCAGAAGCGUCGCUCUGUCUCGGAUGCCCGUGGUGAGUGACGCAGAAGCGACCGGACUGGGCCGGGGUUCAAUCCUGAAACCUCAAAAUAGUCUCCCCUCUAAUACAGAAAUAUUUAGUAAAGAAG